UACGGGGGGAGCAAGCGUUGUUCGGAUUUACUGGGCGUAAAGGGCGUGUAGGCGGCCAGCACAAGUCAGUUGUGAAAUCUCCGAGCUUAACUCGGAAAGGUCAACUGAUACUGUGCGGCUAGAGUGCAGAAGGGGCAACUGGAAUUCUUGGUGUAGCGGUGAAAUGCGUAGAUAUCAAGAGGAACACCUGCGGCGAAGGCGGGUUGCUGGGCUGACACUGACGCUGAAGCGCGAAAGCCAGGGGAGCGAACGGG
rnacentral:rRNA from 1 species